GAGGGCCCCGGGGCCCGGCCUCAGCCCGGCGGGCGCCCUCGCAGACCCCUUUCCCCGGGGGGAGGCGGGCAGAGCGCUGUCAUGGGGACUCCCCACUCUCAUCCCUGGUCCCGCGCCCAGGGCUGCCUUCUCCCAAUUGGGAGCCGCCCUAAGCCCCGGCCACCGUCCUGCUUCCGCCUGGGUCUCAUCCUUAGAGACGGAGCGGAGCCGCCUCUCCCCGGGCAUUACCCACUGCUACAGAAAAGAGUGAAGCUUAUCUGGAAAGAAAAUUCUGGCAAAGACGACGGGAGAGCCCCUGUGCCGUCUCUGGAGUGGAGUACAGGAAGCCCCACCCAAGCCUGCCUUUCAGAAGUGGCCCAGAGAGGGAACCACAUGGAGGCCCUAAAAUGAUGCCUUUUGGAAAUUCUGACUCAUUUGGCGGCGGGGGUUAUUUAUGCAACGUUCAAAAGGUCUCCCAAGGAGUGAAAUAUUGACUGUUCUUCCGCCAUGUCUCUUCCCUGUGGCCAGCGUCUCCACCACUGUGCACCCAGAAGCAGGGGCCAAUUUCAAAAGGCUGGAGAAGUUAUUCAGGUUUGUUUCACAUUUGUCUCAGCUCGCUAACUGCAACAGCGAUCCUCUAAAGUCUUAUUUUGUGUGACUCUUAGUUGUUUGUGUGGUCAAUCUCUACAGAAAGAGUAAACGAAAGCGGGAAUGAGUCUUCUGGCUAAUCGAAACCCUUGUGUGCGAAUGGGUAAACUGAGGCAAGAGGGCAGGAAGGAGGGACCCUACCUGUACCGUCCCAAGCCUGGUAACUGGUGUUCUGGAAAUCUAUGUUCCCUUUGGCCUGGAGAAUUCCGUGGACGGUAUAGGUCAUGGGGUCGCACAGAGUCGGACAUGACUGAGCGCCACUCAUCUUCCACUUUCACUGUUUCAUCUCUAGGCUGGGGGAUCCAUCCCUCCCCACCCCUUCCCCCUUAGUGAUGACUCACGUCAGUGCUGCUGGCUGAGCACAGAUGGGAAGCUUGCACUGGGGUAGCCAUUUCUGGGACGCCUCAUCAGAGACGUGCCCAUCUGGGCAUGGAAAGCUGGUUCUCAUCCUGGUUCCGCUCGCAGCUGCCUCUUUCUUCGUUUCCCCCUUUGCUGCUCCUCCAAGUGUGAGUCUAUCUUUUCUCCCUCUGGUCCUACUGUGUGCUGGUAGGGUGAGCAGACCCACCAGCCCAGUUUCUUCCUCUCUCCAAGUAGUCUGCCUUCCCCACUGGCAGCUGCCACCCCAAAACCAAGUAAGCUCGGGAACCGAAGUAAUUCAGGCUGUUCUUCCAGAUGCACGAAUUGUGGUGCUUUUACAAAAUUAAAAUACAACAUGUGUUGGAAGCAAGGGCUGGAUUCUGGGAUUACUGAGUUCUAGCCCUUGUAAAUGCUACUCACUAGCUGUGUAACUUUGGGUUAUUUCUGAGUCUCUGACUCCAUGAAAUGGGAGAACUGGAAAAGAUCAUCUCUAAGUUACUCCUCCCCAAAAAAUGUGAAUUUUUUUUUCUUUUCAAAUUUAAUUGAUUUAUUUAUUUGGCUGCGUUGGGUCUUAGUGGCGGCAUGUGGGAUCUUUGGUUGCGGGGCACAGAUUCUUGAGUUGUGGCGAGCGGACCCUGGAGCUCGGGGCUCAGCAGUUGCAGUAUGUGGACUUAGCUGCUCCCCAGCAUGUGGGAUGUUCCCCGACCAGGGGUCAAACCGACAUCUCCUGCAGUGCAAGUGGAUUCUCAACCACUGGACCACCAGGGAAGUCCCCAAAUAAUAUGCAUCUUGAUUGUACUGGAUAAUAAUACCAUUGAGCAUGGCUAUUAAACACUACUAUUAUCUUACACUAAAAGCAUAAGUAAUUACAGAAGCAAACAUGUUAAGGUAAAAUUGACACACUUUAUUCUUAACAAAAUAAAAUCCUUCUGAAAGAGCCUGGUCAUGUUUCUCUCAUCAGUGGGCAAGCCAAUCUAUUCUCUCUGCUUUUGCUUAAGGAGCACCUUAAGUGGUUUUAUUUUUUAUUUUUUACAAUUACAUGAGGUAAUUGUGGAUUAUGCAGUUGUGACGGAUUAUACAGAGAAAGUCCUCUGCACCUUUUACCAAGUUUCUUGCAAUGGCAACAUCUUGAAAAUGUAGCUAAUACAAUAUCACAACUAGGAUACUGACACUGACAUCAAGAUGCAGAGCAUUUCCAUGGCCACAAGGAUCUUUCAUGCUGCUCCUGUCUCCUGCCCUCAUCCCCUCCUUCACCCCUGGCAACCAUUAACCUGUUCUCAUUUCUACAAUUCUGCCAUUUCAAGGAUAUUAUACAAAUGGAAUCAUAAAGUGUGUAAUCUUUGGGAACCAGCUAUUUUCACUCAGCGUAAUUCAAUGGUGAUUCAUCCAGGUUGUUGAAUCCACAUCUCUUUAUUGCUGAGUCUUAUUCCAGAGUAUAAAUGGACCAUAGCUCAUCUAACCAUUGACCUGUUGAAGGACAUCAAGGUGGCCUCUAGUUUGGGGCUAUUUUGAAUAAAACGGCUAUAAACAUUUAGUACAGCUCUUCCUGUCAAUGUAAGCCUUCACACUUUAAGAUUUAACUGGUAUGGUACCUGUACACAGUACCACACCACCGAUUUUUGUCCCAUUUAUUUAUAGUGAUGAACACACUCCAAAGAUGUUGAAGUGUCUAGUAAUUGCCCAGGACCAGGCUGUGAGUUGCGGAAAUUCAAUAAAAGCAAACUAUGUGGUUCCUAACCUUAGGAAUUUGCAACCUAUUGUGGAAGCAACACUGAAACACUGAAGUUACAUUGAAAUAACAAGACAGCGCUGCACAUGAUCAGGUGCUAGACAGCAGGGUACAGAGUUGACUCUUACAGGAAUCCAGAAAAGGGAGAGAAGGGUGAAGGCUCACGUGUUUGGGGAAGGGCGUUGUGGAUAAGGUGAGAUGUGAGUUACGUCUUGAAUGAUGGAGAAUAGUAACAAUAUCUAGCAUUUAUUAAGGAUACUACGUGCCAAGCACUGUCCUAAACCUUUAUACUUAUAUUAACUCAUUUAGUCCUCAUCAAGGUAGCUAUUAUUAUCUAAUUUUACAAAUGAGGGAACACAUCUAUCAUGAGGCUGCCCUGGACUACAACCCAGGUACUCAUAAAUAACCACUCCUUGGUUCAGCUCACAACUCUCAUGAAUAACCACUGCCCCUACUGUCUGCCUGGUGGCAAUGGUGGAGGACCAUUUUCUGAUCGUGAUUGAAUUCCAAUCUGUUUCUUAGGUUUUAUUUUUCACACAGAGCCACACUGAACCCCAAAUGUCACAGCUCUGGCUCCAUUAAUGUGAUGAGUUCCUUAUGGGUCCACGUUACUCAUGAGAAAUUACUUUGUAAAGAAUAGCACCAGCCUCAGUCACAGGAGAGAAAGCAUAGUGCAUGUGCUACAAGAGGGAGAGAACCAGCCUGGAGGUCUGCUGUGUGUGUGUGUGUGUGUGUGUGUGUGUGUGUGUGUGUGUGUGUGUGUGUGUGUAUCGGUGUGUGCAAACAGCAGGGCUGAACCCUCCAGUCACAUUGCUUACCUGCAGUGAGAAAAACAUCAGAGCUGCAGCUUCGUACGUACCGGGAAACUCGCAGGGCAGUCUGAGAUCGUUUCUGAUAAUGACUGUGGUUUUGUGUUCUCCAAACCGCUCUGUACCAGGGAAGUCACAGCCACGCUCAGCGAUUUCCUUGGUUGCUGAGCAGGUGGGACGUGUGAUUUCUCUUCGUAAACAGGCUUGAGCGCGGCUCAGCCUUCCAGCCUCACUGUUUUGGCCUAAACAACGGCAGCACAGCACUAGGAACCUGGCUUCUUUGUUCGGUUUUGUUUUGAAACCUAAAUGCAGCCUUGAGAAGCCGCGAAGGUCAUUUCACCGCAGAAGCCCCUUUCCAUCAAAUGUUAGAAUCCUGCUGUGAACUGGCCCCAGACACAUGCCGAACGAACAAUUCUCAAACCGACUGCCUCAAGUCCUUGCUCUGCAUGAGGCCCAGCACCUGGCCUACAAUCUUAAAAGAACUUUAAUACUCAAUUUUUUUUUUAAUGCUGUCGAGAUGGUCUGCAGAGAAGAACGGCAAGGGUCACCAAAUGCACCUCCUGGCUCUACAAAAGCCGGACGCGGCGGACAGAAGCAGCCCCUGUAAACGGGCAGGAGAGAGAGCAGCGCAGGCCCCGUGUCCUUGGGUAUUUACAGGUCCUGCUGGUGCAGCGCCAGUGGCAUUAGGUCACCGGCUUCAGCAAUCAAGGCUGUUUCAUCAUCCAGGCUGAAAUAUUUGUGUCACUGGUGAAUCUGGGCAAAGGCCGAGACCCUGUCUGCUCAGUUUACAGUCUCUAGGACGGCCUGACACACAGGUGCACAGACACAAAUAGCAGCCAGAAGACUCUAGAAAUUCACUGGCCCGGCUCCUUCGUGUUCCAGAGACUCAGAGGUUCGGGAGCUGCCCAAGGUCAGGGAACAUGAGCCCUCCCCACCCCCCGCCCCCCAUGGCUCAGCCCACAGCCACGCUUACCUCCAUUGCCAAACCCAGGGGACGCUUGGGUUCUUACCUGGCCUCUCUUGCGGCUUCUGACCACCCUGAUGGGGCCUCCCUCCUGGAAGGAAGCUUGUUUCUCCUCUGGCCUCUUUGCUAGUCUUCAGGCUUAUCCUUCCCUAACAGCAUACAUCUCCCAGCUUGUGUUGCUGGUUUUUCCCUUUUUCUUGCUCUCUCUGCCCAAAUAUUUUUCUUUUUAAUAUCUUACUUUGGCUGCGGUGAGUCCUAAUUGCAGCACUCAGGAUCCCGAUCUUUGUUGUGGCAUGUGAGACUUUUUAGUUGCGGGGUGUGAACUCUCAGUUGCAGUGUGUAAGACCUAGCUCCCCAGGGAUCGAACCCGGGCCUCCUGCAUCGGGAGUGCGGAGUCUCCGUAGCCACUGACCACGAGGGAAGUCCCCAAAUCUCUUUUAUUAUCAGGUCUAGACCUUCCAGGGCAAUCAUCUGAGUAAUUUCCCCCAAUAUUUCAGAUAUAACCUAACGACUUAGAUAGACGCCCCUCAGAUUCCUCAGACUCAGAAUGUCUGAAAGUAAUUUGUGUCUCACUUCUCCAAUCCUUCUCCCUCCUCUCCCUGUGUUCCUUGUAUUCGCUAGCCGGGAGGAGCUCUAGAGCUAAGGUAGAACCUGGAGGUAAGCCUGAGUCCACCUCUUCUUCCCAGCCCCCUCCCCACGUCCAGCCAGUUACCAGAUGACAUCCACCCAGACUUCAAAGUGUGAAAUGUGACUUGCACGGGUGACCACUCACGGCACACAAGUAGAGCCCGGGAACCGCUCCAUCUUCCAGCGGUCUCCUGACCGGUCUCCCUCGGUCAGUCUGGGCCACCUCCAGUUCGUCAGCAUUCCUACCAGGCUCAUUUCUCAAGAACUCUGCAGCGGACACCCUUGCUAUGACCUUCUCUCAUCCCAAGGACAAAAUCCUAAGGCCCCAUCUACACUCACUUGCAGGCACGUCUACUAGUGAAGCACCCUGGCACCCACCUGGGCCUUUGCCUUGGCGGUUUCCUCUCCCUGGAAUGUCCUUCCCUUUCAAGUAGCAGCUCUCUACCCUUCGUCAACACUCAAUUCAAACACCACCCCCUCUAACUUUCUCUGAGGCCCUGCUGCGCUGGGCCUGGCAGCCCCACCCCCUGGCGGUGCUUAGCGACCUUCUUGCAUAAGGCUGAGGUCCUGGGGAGUGGGCGUGUCUUACCCCACUCUGCGGCCUGCUUAGCACAAGCUCUGUGGUUGGAUGGUUCUCUCCCUCCUAUGGCAUCUGUGGUCAGUAGUGAGUCUCAGGUAAUUUGGGAUUUGAGAUACUGUCCUACAUUGUUUACCAUGUCACAGGUUCUCCAUUCAAGAAGCAUGCCUUGUGCACAAAGGAGGACCAGGGUGGGAAAGAGUUCCACUGGACUAGAAGCGGAAGGUCUGUUGGGGUGGGAGGGGCAUAAAAUUAAACUGUGAUACGUACAAAACCCCUGAAGGGUUUUGGUCUCCAAAAGUAGUGAAAUAGGGCUGGGUGGUCGGACAGCGAAGUGCUUCUGUCCUUUGCUGCCUCUGAUGGUGUAUCUAGCAUUUGCAGAAAUGCUUUAUGGACGCUGGCUAGCUGAGUUCUUAAGCCCAGCAUGGGAUUCGCAGUUUAGAAAAACCCAACUUUAUGCCAACAUAAUUCAAUACGUCACCACCUAAUUAAACAUAGUAUUUUUAAGGGGCUCAUCCUGGACUAAUACGAGAUAUAGAACAGGAAUAAAAUAACACUGCUUUUCUGGCAUUAAUGAGGGAAUUAUGCCUCUGAAAUUUAUCUUUUAACCCAACCCACUUAGACUAUGCCUUCCCUGAUGGCUCAGACAGUAAAGCAUCUGCCUACAAUGGGGGAGACCCGGA